rnacentral:lncRNA from 1 species
GCUUAGGUGAACAUCAACACCAGCCCCUUGGUUUUGUUGUUCAGGAGAAGACGGUUCUUAUUACUCCAGACAGUUAAAUAAAUUUAUCAUAAUACACUACAUUUUAACAUAAUGACCUUAUAUUUAUUUAUGACUUUUAACCAUUAUUUCAGAUUCAAAUAAUCCUGUUUGAAAUAUUUAUUAAACUUAUAGAAUUAAAUUUCUGCUAGUUGUUUUCUGUUGCAAAGAAAUCUAGUAUAAUAAUAUUUAAAUUUACAUAUAUAUCUUUCACGUUUUCAAUGCCAAUUUUGUGUAAUACUGUAAUUUCCCACUACCCGUGAAUGCCUCUUGUUUACAUCGCUGGCUCACUCCUGCAUCUCCGCCCACUCUCUGCUCAAUCCCUGCCGAGUGAACGAGAUCUUUGGUUUUGCCUUUGCUGACUGCUGAUCUGAUCGUCUCAAGUCUGGUAAGUAAAGGUUUUGUCUGAGGUACAGUGCUGGGAAAAGUCUUUCUUCCUUGCAGAUUUAUUUUGUUUAUGGUUUUUUGUCACAUG